rnacentral:rRNA from 1 species
GGUUAAAGCUCGUAGUUGGAUUUCUGCUGAGGACGAUCGGUCCGCCCUCUGGGUGAGCAUUGACUCGGCCUUGGCAUCUUCUUGGAGAACGCUACUGCACUUGACUGUGUGGUGCGGUAUCCAGGACUUUUACUUUGAAGAAAUUAAAGUGUUUCAAGCAGGCGCACGCCUUGAAUACAUUAACAUGGAAUAAUAAGAUAGGACCUUGGUUCUAUUUUGUUGGUUUCUAGAGCUGAAGUAAUGAUUAAUAGGGAUAGUUGGGGGCAUUCGUAUUUAACUGUCAGAAGUGAAAUUCUUGGAUUUGUUAAAGACCGACUACUGCCAAAGCAUUUGCCAAGGAUGUUUUCAUUGAUCAAGAACGAAAGUUAGGGGAUCGAAAACGAUCAGAUACCGUCCUAGUCUUAACCAUAAACCAUGCCCACUAAAGAUUGGAGGUCGUUACUUAUACUACUCCUUCAGCACCUUAUGAAAAAUCAAAGUCUUUGGGUUCC